AGCGAACGCUGGCGGCAGGCCUAACACAUGCAAGUCGAGCGGCCGUAGCAAUACGGCAGCGGCAGACGGGAGAGUAACACGUGGGAACGUACCCUUUGGUUCGGAACAACCCAGGGAAACUUGGGCUAAUACCGGAUAAGUCCGUAAGGAGAAAGAUUUAUCGCCGAAGGAUCGGCCCGCGUCUGAUUAGCUUGUUGGUGAGGUAACGGCUCACCAAGGCGACGAUCAGUAGCUGGUCUGAGAGGAUGAUCAGCCUCACUGGGACUGAGGCACGGCCCGAACUCCUACGGGAGGCAGCAGUGGGAAUAUUGGACAAUGGGCGCAAGCCUGAUCCAGCCAUGCCGCGUGGAUGAUGAAGGCCCUAGGGUUGUAAAGUCCUUUCGGCGGGGAAGAUAAUGACGGUACCCGCAGAAGAAGCCCCGGCUAACUUCGUGCCAGCAGCCGCCGUAA
rnacentral:rRNA from 1 species